UACGAAGGGGGCUAGCGUUGUUCGGAAUCACUGGGCGUAAAGGGCGCGUAGGCGGCUUUAUAAGUCGGGGGUGAAAGCCUGUGGCUCAACCACAGAAUUGCCUUCGAUACUGUAGAGCUUGAGACCGGAAGAGGUAAGUGGAACUGCGAGUGUAGAGGUGAAAUUCGUAGAUAUUCGCAAGAACACCAGUGGCGAAGGCGGCUUACUGGUCCGGUUCUGACGCUGAGACGCGAAAGCGUGGGGAGCAAACAGG
rnacentral:rRNA from 1 species